rnacentral:rRNA from 1 species
AUUGAACGCUGGCGGCAGGCUUAACACAUGCAAGUCGAGCGAGCGGCGGACGGGUGAGUAAUGUCUGGGAAACUGCCUGAUGGAAGGGGAUAACUACUGGAAACGGUAGCUAAUACCGCAUACAAUCAGAUGUGCCCAGAUGGGAUUAGCUAGUCGGUGGGGUAAUGGCUCACUUAGGCGACGAUCACUAGCUGGUCUGAGAGGAUGACCAGCCACACUGGAACUGAGACACGGGCCAGACUCCUACGGUAGGCAGCAGUGGGGAAUAUUGCACAAUGGGCUCAAGCCUGAUUGAGCCAUGCCGCGUGUGUGAAGAAGGCCUUCGGGUUGUAAAGCACUUUCAGCGAGGAGUCGUUACUCGCAGAAGAAGCACCGGCUAACUCCGUGCCAGCAGCGGCGGUAAUAC